rnacentral:rRNA from 1 species
GACGAACGCUGGCGGCGUGCCUAAUACAUGCAAGUAGAACGCACAGUUUAUACCGUAGCUUGCUACACCAUAGACUGUGAGUUGCGAACGGGUGAGUAACGCGUAGGUAACCUGCCUGGUAGCGGGGGAUAACUAUUGGAAACGAUAGCUAAUACCGCAUAAUAUUGAUUAUUGCAUGAUAAUUGAUUGAAAGAUGCUAUUGCAUCACUACCAGAUGGACCUGCGUUGUAUUAGCUAGUAGGUGAGGUAACGGCUCACCUAGGCGACGAUACAUAGCCGACCUGAGAGGGUGAUCGGCCACACUGGGACUGAGACACGGCCCAGACUCCUACGGGAGACAGCAGUAGGGAAUCUUCGGCAAUGGACGAAAGUCUGACCGAGCAACGCCGCGUGAGGGAAGAAGGUUUUCGGAUCGUAAAGCUCUGUUGUAAGAGAAGAACGGGUGUGAGAGUGGAAAGUUCACACUGUGACGGUAUCUUACCAGAAAGGGACGGCUAACUACGUG